rnacentral:rRNA from 1 species
UACGAAGGGUGCAAGCGUUACUCGGAAUUACUGGGCGUAAAGCGUGCGUAGGUGGUUCGUUAAGUCUGCCGUGAAAGCCCCGGGCUCAACCUGGGAAUGGCGGUGGAUACUGGCGGACUAGAGUGCGGUAGAGGGUGGUGGAAUUCCCGGUGUAGCAGUGAAAUGCGUAGAGAUCGGGAGGAACACCGGUGGCGAAGGCGGCUUUCUGGACAGUAACCGACGCUGAGGCACGAAAGCUAGGGGAGCAAACAGG